rnacentral:rRNA from 1 species
GACGUAGGGUGCGAGCGUUGUCCGGAUUUAUUGGGCGUAAAGAGCUCGUAGGCGGCUCGUCGCGUCGACCGUGAAAACCCGCGGCUUAACUGCGGGCUUGCGGUUGAUACGGGCGGGCUAGAGUUCGGUAGGGGAGACUGGAAUUCCUGGUGUAGCGGUGAAAUGCGCAGAUAUCAGGAGGAACACCAGUGGCGAAGGCGGCACUCUGGGCCGGUACUGACGCUGAGGAGCGAAAGCGUGGGGAGCGAACAGG